GUUUGGGUAGCUCAGCAGGUAGAGCGGAGGACUGAAAAUCCUUAGGUCGUUGGUUCAAGUCCAACUUCAGAC
rnacentral:tRNA from 1 species